AUGUUUUUCUGUUCAUCUAGUAUGCUAGACUCUUGCAUGCUAACUAUUGUUAUAGUCAUGAAUUACUUACUGCAAUUAAUCGCAGAAUUGUUUAAUAUUCUAACAUCUUCUCCAUGCCGCCUUGGUCCCCUCAUUUCCUUCGUCUGGUGGCCUCACCGGAGGCAAGAGGACUGGAGACCUAUAUGUUUUUUUUCUUUUGCUUGGGUUUAUUUCCCUGACGACAUCGAUGAGGUGGUGGCGACUGUGGCCUAUUGGAAUAAGGUCUCCUCAUGCCUCGACGACAUCCAAUCCGACGCUGACGAAUGGCCUAUGAGAGUUUGUGUCCCCAUGUCUGUUGGCUCUCUUCAUAUAUUGGCGGUCUAUUAA
rnacentral:rRNA from 1 species